rnacentral:lncRNA from 1 species
CAUAAUCCUUUGCCUUUGGAUUUCCACCUUGUCCUCAGCAAUGGAAAGACCUCCCUUGGUCUCAUCAAUCUCUAACAGCCAACAUUCAAAGAUGCCUUUUAGCCGCUCCAUCUCAACAAUCCUAUUGUCAAACUCCUCAUUCUGCUUCUGUAUGAUAGAUUUUCCAACCAUUUCAUGAAUUCCCAGCAAUGCAUUCAAAAAAAGACCAAGAAACUAUUUGGUAUCUAUUAAAGCUAAAGGUACGAAAUACCAAAAGAAAACAAAGACCUUCAUAUCUUCAGCCAGCUCCAUAAACUGUUCCUUGUUGGUCUCCCA